CCCUUAGAUGUCCUGGGCCGCACGCGUGCUACACUGAUGCAUACAGCGAGUACUCCCAGCUCCGAGAGGCUGCUGGUAAUCAGCAAUAUGCAUCGUGAUGGGGAUAGAUCUUUGGAAUUAUAGAUCUUGAACGAGGAAUUCCUAGUAAUCGCAGGUCAUCACCCUGCGUUGACUAAGUCCCUGCCCUUUGUACACACCGCCCGUCGCUCCUACCGAUUUCGAGCGAUCCGGUGAAUCAUUCGGACCGCGGCCCCUAGGCAUGCGGAAAGUCUAGUAAACCAUAUCACUUAGAGGAAGGAGAAGUCGUAACA
rnacentral:rRNA from 1 species